rnacentral:pre_miRNA from 1 species
AAUAAGUGUAGUUUUGCAUGGUUCUUGUUUAACAUUUAACCGCCCAUCUUAUUUGAAAAAAGUUAUAAUUAGUAUUUUUGUUAUUAUUAGAUGAUAAAAUAUGAAUAGUACUUUAAUUAAUUAUUUUUAGUUUUUUCAUAAUUCUUUUAGAAAGACGGAUGUUCAAAUAUUAAAUACGGAAACCAACUGCUGUACUUAUU